rnacentral:rRNA from 1 species
GACGAACGCUGGCGGCGUGCUUAACACAUGCAAGUCGAACGGAAAGGCCCUGCUUUUGUGGGGUGCUCGAGUGGCGAACGGGUGAGUAACACGUGAGUAACCUGCCCUUGACUUUGGGAUAACUUCAGGAAACUGGGGCUAAUACCGGAUAGGAGCUCCUGCUGCAUGGUGGGGGUUGGAAAGUUUCGGCGGUUGGGGAUGGACUCACGGCUUAUCAGCUUGUUGGUGGGGUAGUGGCUUACCAAGGCUUUGACGGGUAGCCGGCCUGAGAGGGUGACCGGACACAUUGGGACUGAGAUACGGCCCAGACUCCUACGGGAGGCAGCAGUGGGGAAUAUUGCACAAUGGGCGGAAGCCUGAUGCAGCAACGCCGCGUGCGGGAUGACGGCCUUCGGGUUGUAAACCGCUUUCGCCUGUGACGAAGCGUGAGUGACGGUAAUGGGUAAAGAAGCACCGGCUAACUACGUG